rnacentral:rRNA from 1 species
CACACGACUCUCGGCAACGGAUAUCUCGGCUCUCGCAUCGUUGAAGAACGUAGCAAAAUGCGAUACCUGGUGUGAAUUGCAUAAUCCCGCGAACCAUCGAGUUUUUGAACGCAAGUUGCGCCCGAAGCCUUCUGGCCGAGGGCACGUCUGCCUGGGCGUCUCG